rnacentral:rRNA from 1 species
ACGAACGCUGGCGGCGUGCUUAACACAUGCAAGUCGAACGAUGAAGCCUAGCUUGCUAGGUGGAUUAGUGGCGAACGGGUGAGUAAUACGUGAGUGACCUACCUUUGACUCUGGGAUAAGCCUGGGAAACUGGGUCUAAUACCGGAUACGACCAAUCUCCGCAUGGGGUGUUGGUGGAAAGCGUUAUGGAGUGGUUUUAGAUGGGCUCACGGCCUAUCAGCUUGUUGGUGAGGUAAUGGCUUACCAAGGCGACGACGGGUAGCCGGCCUGAGAGGGUGACCGGCCACACUGGGACUGAGACACGGCCCAGACUCCUACGGGAGGCAGCAGUGGGGAAUAUUGCACAAUGGGCGCAAGCCUGAUGCAGCGACGCCGCGUGAGGGAUGACGGCCUUCGGGUUGUAAACCUCUGUUAGCAUCGAAGAAGCGAAAGUGACGGUAGGUGCAGAGAAAGCGCUGGCUAACUACGUG